rnacentral:rRNA from 1 species
GCACAAGCGGUGGAGCAUGUGGUUUAAUUCGAAGCAACGCGAGGAACCUUACCCGGGCUUGAAAUGCAUCUGACCGGCCUUGAAAGAGGUUUUUCCCCUUCGGGGCAGAUGUGUAGGUGCUGCAUGGUUGUCGUCAGCUCGUGCCGUGAGGUGUCGGCUUAAGUGCCAUAACGAGCGCAACCCUCAUCAUUAGUUACCAUCAGGUAAGGCUGGGGACUCUAAUGAGACUGCCAUCGUAAGAUGUGAGGAAGGUGGGGAUGACGUCAAAUCAGCACGGCCCUUACGUCCGGGGCGACACACGUGUUACAAUGGGUGGUACAAAGGGCAGCUACCUGGCGACAGGAUGCUAAUCUCCAAAACCACUCUCAGUUCGGAUCGGAGUCUGCAACUCGACUCCGUGAAGCUGGAUUCGCUAGUAAUCGCGCAUCAGCCACGGCGCGGUGAAUACGUUCCCGGGCCUU